rnacentral:rRNA from 1 species
GAUGAACGCUGGCGGCGUGCCUAAUACAUGCAAGUCGAGCGAACAGACGAGGAGCUUGCUCCUCUGACGUUAGCGGCGGACGGGUGAGUAACACGUGGAUAACCUACCUAUAAGACUGGGAUAACUUCGGGAAACCGGAGCUAAUACCGGAUAAUAUAUUGAACCGCAUGGUUCAAUAGUGAAAGACGGUUUUGCUGUCACUUAUAGAUGGAUCCGCGCCGCAUUAGCUAGUUGGUAAGGUAACGGCUUACCAAGGCAACGAUGCGUAGCCGACCUGAGAGGGUGAUCCGCCACACUGGAACUUAGACACGGUCCAGACUCCUACGGGAGGCAGCAGUAGGGAAUCUUCCGCAAUGGGCGGAAGCCUGACGGAGCAACGCCGCGUGAGUGAUGAAGGUCUUCGGAUCGUAAAACUCUGUUAUUAGGGAAGAACAAAUGUGUAAGUAACUAUGCACGUCUUGACGGUACCUAAUCAGAAAGCCACGGCUAACUACGUG